GGAUUAGAUACCCUGGUAGUCCACGCCGUAAACGAUGAUCACUAGAUGUUGGCUUUGCUUAGCAAGGUCAGUGUCGUAGCUAACGCGAUAAGUGAUCCGCCUGAGUAGUACGGUCGCAAGAUUAAAACUCAAAGGAAUUGACGGGGGUCCGCACAAGCGGUGGAACAUGUGGUUUAAUUCGACAUUACGCGAGAAACCUUACCUAGGCUUGACAUGUAUUUGACCGCCAUGGAAACAUGGUUUUCCAAGUUUACUUGGACAGAUACACAGGUGCUGCAUGGCUGUCGUCAGCUCGUGCCG
rnacentral:rRNA from 1 species